CAGCCGCCGCGGGAAUACGUAGGUGGCAAGCGUUGUCCGGAAUUAUUGGGCGUAAAGGGCUCGCAGGCGGUUUCUUAAGUCUGAUGUGAAAGCCCCCGGCUCAACCGGGGAGGGUCAUUGGAAACUGGGAAACUUGAGUGCAGAAGAGGAGAGUGGAAUUCCACGUGUAGCGGUGAAAUGCGUAGAGAUGUGGAGGAACACCAGUGGCGAAGGCGACUCUCUGGUCUGUAACUGACGCUGAGGAGCGAAAGCGUGGGGAGCGAACAGGAUUAGAGACCCGAGUAGUCCCUGUCUCUUAUAC
rnacentral:rRNA from 1 species